rnacentral:rRNA from 1 species
AGUCGAGCGGGUGAUGUAGCUUGCUACAUUACCUAGCGGCGGACGGGUGAGUAAUGCUUAGGAAUCUGCCUAUUAGUGGGGGACAACAUUCCGAAAGGAAUGCUAAUACCGCAUACGCCCUACGGGGGAAAGCAGGGGAUCUUCGGACCUUGCGCUAAUAGAUGAGCCUAAGUCAGAUUAGCUAGUUGGUGGGGUAAAGGCCUACCAAGGCGACGAUCUGUAGCGGGUCUGAGAGGAUGAUCCGCCACACUGGGACUGAGACACGGCCCAGACUCCUACGGGAGGCAGCAGUGGGGAAUAUUGGACAAUGGGCGCAAGCCUGAUCCAGCCAUGCCGCGUGUGUGAAGAAGGCCUUUUGGUUGUAAAGCACUUUAAGCGAGGAGGAGGCUACUUAGAUUAAUACUCUAGGAUAGUGGACGUUACUCGCAGAAUAAGCACCGGCUAACUCUGUGCCAGCAGCCGCGGUAAUACAGAGGGUGCGAGCGUUAAUCGGAUUUACCGGGCGUAAAGCGUGCGUAGGCGGCUUUUUAAGUCGGAUGUGAAAUCCCUGAGCUUAACUUAGGAAUUGCAUUCGAUACUGGGAAGCUAGAGUAUGGGAGAGGAUGGUAGAAUUCCAGGUGUAGCGGUGAAAUGCGUAGAGAUCUGGAGGAAUACCGAUGGCGAAGGCAGCCAUCUGGCCUAAUACUGACGCUGAGGUACGAAAGCAUGGGGAGCAAACAGGAUUAGAUACCCUGGUAGUCCAUGCCGUAAACGAUGUCUACUAGCCGUUGGGGCCUUUGAGGCUUUAGUGGCGCAGCUAACGCGAUAAGUAGACCGCCCUGGGGAGUACGGUCGCAGACUAAAACUC